AUGAAUUCAUUUGCUUUGAAACUGCAUUUUAUCCUUCAAAAAUUUAGCUCUCGAAUAAUUUCAGUUUCACUUCUCAUCAUUCAGUUUCAGUUCUACAAUUCAAUUUCAGUUCCAAAAUUCAGUUUUUUGGAACUUACAUCUGGUUCAAGCAUAAUCGAGCGCAGAGUAAUCGAACUUCGUUUUACUAGCGGACCGCAAGUGGCAAUCUACGGCAUCUUGAGCUGGAGCUGGAGUAAUUCUUCUGAAGACAUUCGUGAUGUCGAAAGACCAGUUGAGAAACUCUCAGGCAGACAGUUCAGAAAUUGUCAGGUCAACAACACACCUGCUAAAUUUACUAACUUCUACAUCUACCACUGUUCGGCCCAGUGUUCAGACUCACCAAGAGCCUCCCAGGUUUUGUGAAACUAGACACAAACAACACAUGCACAGAUUACCAAAUAACUUUUGAAUCAUUUGACACGUGUUUUACUGUUGUACUAUAUUAAUUAGUUAGCAUAAAAUGAUGUGAUGCAUACUCUGAAAAUUGUGUCAUUCUAGCAGACAGGAAACGAGUCAGGAGAGAGGGAGAGAUGGCCGACCAAGUAUCCACGCAGAAAUGACUAGGUUCCUUGUUGUAUUUGUUCCUUUGUCAGACUUGUUGUUCCUUACACUUACUUAUUUAAGUUCUCAAUACCCAUAACUUGUUAAGAUGUACAAUUCUAUUAUUUUAUAUCAACUUACAACAUGUCUUCACAGGUCUUUUCCUGCUCUUUAUGGAAACAAAGCAAAGCGCCGGUGCUUUCGAGGGCCUGCCAACCAAUUCACACCAGUUAAAGAAAUACAACUUAAUUUUUAUCUCUUACCCAAGUUUGUUCAGUCUACUCCAAAAGGCAGUGAAGAAUUUGUCCAUCUGCAAGCUGGUUUGGGACGUAGGUCAACACUGAUACCUGACAACUACAGUCAUGAUGAGGUAAGGUACUGCUCCACAUUGACAGGAAAAUAUAUUUGUUGUAAGUUAACGAUCAAAAAGUGUUUGUCUUUAUUCAGAGUCAAUUAAUUUGGUAGUCGAUGAUUUAUUUCAAAGGUAUGUUCAAGACUCAAAGAUCUGUAUCCAAAACUGGAAAGUGUUUCUGGGGGCUGGCUGAUUUACAAAGGAGCAGGUAGAAAAAACCUCUUAAUGGCCAUUCCAACUUUUGAAUUGAUAGUUAUAGAAGAAUUUGGAUGAUAUCAUGACCAUGAAUGCACUGCGAUGUGUACUGCCACAUUUUGAAUAGUACUGAGUCAUUCACUUUUCUCGACAGGUGGAUGGGGUUCUCGGAAACUAAAUAUGGUGUCUCCUGAGGACAGUGAAUAUACUGGGUCACUGCUAAAGAAUGCAAGUGCAGGGGGAAAGACUGUCCUAUACAUUCCUCCAAUCCAGGAAGAGCUACACACUCAGCCGGUGCCCCCCUGACUCCAGCUCCUUCUCCAAUAUGCCAAAGGCGAUGUGCCACUCAUGUCAAACCAGCUACCCACUUCAACUCUUAGCACUGCAUGUUGAAACAUGUCAGCCUUCAGAUACUAAUGCACAGGAGGUGUGUACAGUCCCAUUCCAUGGAUGAGUCUGGGAGAUCACAUUACACCUAGCUGUGUCCUAUAAAACUACGUAAUGACUGAAACGUGUUUUUGAAAAUGUUUUUAUCAGUCAGGAGCUCUAUGUCCAAUGUUGUGGAUGUCACUACACUUGGUUGUGUUUCUGUAGGUAAUUUAUUAAAUUUGUACUUGCUACUCUCCUUUAUCAGACUUGUAAUGAAGACCCAGAGGACGCACCACAUCCCAUACCACAUAGAGAAGACGAUCAACUUAACUCACAUCUAAAGGUGAAGUUUGGUACCC
rnacentral:lncRNA from 1 species